GACGAACGCUGGCGGCGUGCUUAACACAUGCAAGUCGUACGGUAAGGCCCUUUCGGGGGUACACGAGUGGCGAACGGGUGAGUAACACGUGAGUAACCUGCCCACAACUUUGGGAUAACGCUAGGAAACUGGUGCUAAUACUGGAUAUGUGCUCCUGCUGCAUGGUGGGGGUUGGAAAGCUCCGGCGGUUGUGGAUGGACUCGCGGCCUAUCAGCUUGUUGGUGGGGUAGUGGCCUACCAAGGCGGCGACGGGUAGCCGGCCUGAGAGGGUGACCGGCCAAAUUGGGAAGGGGAAACGGCCCAGAAUCCUACGGGGGGCAGCAGGGGGGAAGAUUGCACAAUGGGGGCAAGCCUGAUGCAGCAACGCCGGGGGGGGGAUGACGGCCUUCGGGUUGGAAACCGCUUUCAGCAGGGACGAAGCUUUUUGUGACGGUACCUGCAGAAGAAGCACCGGCUAACUACGUG
rnacentral:rRNA from 1 species